UACGUAGGGUGCAAGCGUUGUCCGGAAUUAUUGGGCGUAAAGGGCGCGUAGGCGGCUUGAUGUGUCAAAGGUGAAAUCCCUCGGCUCAACUGAGGAACUGCCUUUGAAACUGUCUGGCUUGAGGCCGGGAGAGGGUAGCGGAAUUCCCAGUGUAGCGGUGAAAUGCGUAGAGAUGUGGAGGAACACCGAUGGCGAAGGCAGCCUCCUGGGCCAGCACUGACGCUCAUGCACGAAAGCGUGGGGAGCAAACAGG
rnacentral:rRNA from 1 species